rnacentral:rRNA from 1 species
UACGUAGGGUGCAAGCGUUGUCCGGAAUUAUUGGGCGUAAAGAGCGCGUAGGCGGCCCGUUAAGUCGGAUGUGAAAACCCGUGGCUCAACCACGGGCCUGCAUCCGAUACUGGCGGGCUCGAGGCAGGCAGGGGAGAUCGGAAUUCCUGGUGUAGCGGUGAAAUGCGCAGAUAUCGGGAGGAACACCGGUGGCGAAGGCGGUUCUCUGGGCCUGUACUGACGCUGAGGAGCGAAAGCGUGGGGAGCGAACAGG